rnacentral:tRNA from 3 species
GACUCUGUAGUUCAGUUGGUAGAACGGUGGACUGUUAAUCCAUAUGUCGCAGGUUCGAGUCCUGCCAGAGUCGCCA